rnacentral:lncRNA from 1 species
AAUACUGUGGAUUCAUUUAUUUUCGUGGGUACCAAUUUUCGUGGAUAAGGGAAAACAUGGAUGUUCGUGGAUAUUUAAUUUCGUGGUUUUGAUGCAGUCUUCCUAUAAGCCCAUAGCAAAUUUGUCAUUCGUGGAACAUUUAAUUUCGUGGUUUACAUGUAACCACGAAACUCACGAAAAUUGGUAUCCAACGAAAAUUAAU